UGCCUACGGGGCGCAGCAGUGAGGAAUAUUGGUCAAUGGGCGGAAGCCUGAACCAGCCAAGUCGCGUGAGGGAAUAAGGCCCUACGGGUCGUAAACCUCUUUUGCCGGGGAGCAAGGGCGGGGACGUGUCCCGGCCCGGAGAGUACCCGGAGAAAAAGCAUCGGCUAACUCCGUGCCAGCAGCCGCGGUAAUACGGAGGAUGCGAGCGUUAUCCGGAUUUAUUGGGUUUAAAGGGUGCGUAGGCGGUCCGUUAAGUCAGCGGUAAAAUUGCGGGGCUCAACCCUGUCGAGCCGUUGAAACUGGCA
rnacentral:rRNA from 1 species